rnacentral:rRNA from 1 species
GUCCACGCCGUAAACGAUGGAUGCUAGCCGUCGGCAAGCUUGCUUGUCGGUGGCGCAGCUAACGCAAUAAGCAUCCCGCCUGGGGAGUACGGCCGCAAGGUUAAAACUCAAAGGAAUUGACGGGGGCCCGCACAAGCGGUGGAGCAUGUGGUUUAAUUCGACGCAACGCGAAGAACCUUACCAGCUCUUGACAUUCACUGACUGUUUCCAGAGAUGGAUUCGUCCUAGCAAUAGGCAGUGGGACAGGUGCUGCAUGGCU